UACGUAGGUGGCAAGCGUUGUCCGGAUUUACUGGGCGUAAAGGAUGCGUAGGCGGACAUUUAAGUCAGAUGUGAAAUACCCGAGCUUAACUUGGGUGCUGCAUUUGAAACUGGGUGUCUAGAGUGCAGGAGAGGUAAGUGGAAUUCCUAGUGUAGCGGUGAAAUGCGUAGAGAUUAGGAAGAACACCAGUGGCGAAGGCGGCUCUCUGGGACGGUACUGACGCUGAGACGCGAAAGCGUGGGGAGCAAACAGG
rnacentral:rRNA from 1 species